CGACCUCAGGUCAGGCAGGGCUACCCCCUGAGUUUAAGCAUAUCAAUAAUCGGAGGAGAAGAAACUUACGAGGAUUCCCCUAAUAACGAUGAGCGAACUGAGACAAGCCCAACUUGAGAAUCAGACGGCCUCGUCCUUUGAAUUAUAGUCUGUAGAAGCGUCCUCAGUAGCGGACCAGGCCCAAAUCCCCUGAAGGGGGCACCGGAGAGGGUGAGAGCCCCGUCAUACCCAGACCCUAUCGCACCACGAGGCACUAUUGACGAGUCAGGUUAUUUGGGAAUGUAACCCCAAUCGGGUGGUAAAUUCUGUCCAAGGCUAAAUAUGGGCGAGAGACCGAUAGCAAACAAGUACCACGAGGGAAAGAUGAAAAGGACUUUGAAAAGAGAGUCAAAUAGUGCUUGAAAUUGGUGGGAGGCAAGCAGAUGGGGGCUAGUGAUGUGCCUCGAUCGGAUGCAGAAUGGUGUACAGCUGGUCCACCGCCCGACUCAAGGCAUGGACUAAUGUGGAUUUUGGCGGCUCCCCAAGCCCGGGUUGUCGUGUUAUACCCGAGGAGAUGUUGUCGUUGUGAUCAUGGUAGGCAGCGUGCGCCUUCAUGGCAUACCACUAGGCAAUUACAUGCUUCGGGCAUCAGCUUGUCGGGCUUCCCAUUCGACCCAUCUUGAAACACAGACCAAGGAGUCUGACAUGUGUGCGAGUCAAUGGGCAAGUAAACCUGUAAGGUGUAAGGAAGCUGACUGGUGGGAUCCCCCUAUGGGUUACACCGUCGACCGACCUUGAUCUUCUGAGAAGGGUUCAAGUGAGAGCAUACCUGUCGGGAUCCGAAAGAUGGUGAACUAUGCUUGAGCGGGGCAAAGCCAGAGGAAACUCUGGUGGAGGCUUGCAGCGAUACUGACGUGCAAAUCAUUUAUCUGACUUGGGUAUAGGGGUGAAAGACUAAUCAAAUCGUCUAGUAGCUGGUUCCCUUUGAAGUUUCCCUCAGGAUAGCCGGAGCCCGUGGGCAAUUUCUAUUGGGUAAAGCCAAUGAUUAGAGGCAUUGGGGGCGUAAUGCCCUCAACCUAUUCUCAAACUUUAAAUAGGUAGGACGGUGUGGCUGCUUCGUUGAGCCAUGGCAUGGAAUUGAGAGAUCGAAGUGGGCCAUUUUUGGAGAGCAAAAUUGGCGAUGCGGGAUGAAUCGAAAGCUGGGUUACAGUGUCAGAUUGUGCGCUAACCUAGAACCCACAAAGGGUUUUGGUCGAUUAAGACAGUAGGACGAUGGUCAUGGAAGUCAAAAUUCGCUAAGGAGUGUGUGAUAACUCACUUACCGAAUCAACUAGCCCCAAAAAUGGAUGGCGCUAAAGUGUGCAACUUAUACCCUACCGUCGGGGCAACUGCUAGGCCUCGAUGAGUAGGAGGGCACAACAGUCAUUGUAAAAUCUGGGCGCAAACCUGAGUGAAUUAGCCGUCGAUGCAGAUCUUGGUGGUAGUAGCAAAUAUUCAAAUGAGAACUUUGAAGGCCGAAGAGGGGAAAGGUUCCAUAUAAACGACACUUGCACAUGGGUUAGUCGAUCCCUAGGGACGGGAGAAGCCCGUUAGAGAGUGUGUAUGCACGCGUGCUCCGAAAGGGAAUCGGGUCAAAAUUUCUGAACCAAGACGUGGCGGCUGAUGACAAUAUUAGGAAGUUCGGAGACAUUGGCGAGAGCCUCAGGAAGAGUUAUCUUUUCUAUUUAACAGCCUACCCACCCCAAAAAUUUCUCAGUCGGAGGUAGCGUCCAGCGGCUAAAAGAGCAGCGCAAGUCGCUUAGUGUUCGGUACGCCACCAGUGGCCCUUAAAAAUUCGAAGGAUGGAGUGCCACCACGCCCGAUCGUACUCAUAAUCACAUCAGUUCUCCAAGGUGAACAACCUUUGGUCGAUGGAACAAUAUAGGUAAGGAAAGUCUGCAAAAUGGAUCCAUAACCUCGAGAAAAGGAUUGGCUCUGAGGGAUGGGCAUAGGGGUCCCAUUCCCACACCCAUCGACUAUUGGUGGACUGCUGGAGCUGCUUCUGUGGUGAGAGUAGGUCACGCAUGCCGGCUGGGGGAUGGAUUGGGAACGGCCCCCUCGUGGGCCUUCCCUGAGUGUCGAACAGUCGACUCAUAAGUGAUAUAGACAAGGGAAAUCCAACUGUUUAAUUAAAACAAAGCAUUGUGAUGGUCCUUGUGGAUGCUCACGCAAUGUGAUUUCUACCUAGUGCUCUAAAUGUCAAAGUGAAGAAAUUCAACCAAGUGCGGGUAAAUGACGGGAGUAACUAUGACUCUCUUAAGGUAGCCAAAUGCCUCAUCAUUUAAUUAGUGACGCACAGGGAUGGAUUAACGAGAUUCCCACUAUCCCUGUCUACUGUCCAGCGAAACCACAGCUAAGGGAACGGGCUUGGCAAAAUCAACGGGGAAAGAAUAUCCUAUUGAGCUUGACUCUAGUCCAACUUUGGGAAAUGACUUGAGAGGUGUAGGAUAAGUGGGAGCCUUCGGACGAAAGUGAAAUAACAUUACUUUUAACGUUAUUUUACUUACUCCAUGAGUCAGAGCCGGGGCUACGCCCCUCCUUUUGGACCUAAGGUCUACCUCGGUAGGCCAAUUCAGGCGGAGGAUAUUGUCAAGUAGGGAGUUUGGCUAGGGUAGCACAUCUGUUAAAAGAUAACGCAGGUGUCUUAAGAUGACCUUAGCUAGAACAAAAAUCUCGUGUGGAACAAAAGGGUAAAGGCUCGUUUGAUUCUGAUUUCGAGUACCAAUACGAAUCGUGAAAGCAUGCCCUAUCGAUCCUUUAGACCUUCAGAAUUUGAAGCUAGAGGUGUCAAAAAAGUUACCAUAGGGAUAACUGGCUCGUAGCAACCAAGCAUUCAUAGCGACAUUGCUUUUUGGUCCUUCGAUGUCGGCUCUUCUUAUCUUUACAAAGCAGAAUUUGCCAAGUAUUGGAUUGUUCACCCACCAAUAGGGAACUUGAGCUAAGUUUAGACCAUUGUGAGAUAGGUUAGUUUUACCCUACUUAUAACAAUGUUGCGAUAGUAAUUCAAUGUAGUACAAGAGGAAUCGUUGAUUCACACAAUUGGUCAUCGCGCUUGGUAGAAAAGCCAGUGGCGUAAAGCUACUGUGUGCUGGAUUAUGACUGAAUGCCUUUAAGUCAGAAUCUAGGCUAAAAAAGUGACGCAUGUGCCCGUUGCCCAUUUAUCGAUCCGUUGUAGGGGCCUCCCUGCUCCCAGAGGCACGUGUCGUUGGCUAAGCUCCCAUGAUGGACGUGUUGCCUUGGGCCGCCUUAAAGCGUAAUUCUUGUCGGGCGAUGGGUAGAAUCCUUUGUAGAUGACUUAAAUAUGCGACAGGGUAUUGUAUGUGGCAAAGUGGCCUUGCUGCCACGAUCCAUUGAGAUUCAGCCCCGUGUUGCAUCAAUUCGU